rnacentral:tRNA from 1 species
AUUAGCUCAGUUGGUAGAGCAACUGACUCUUAAUCAGUGGGCCCUGGGUUCGAAUCCCCG